ACAGAGCUGAGCCAAGGGAUUUAAAGAGACCAACCAAGGGAGGUGAAGAAAGAAGGAAGAAGGGAAGUGAGGCAGUAGACAAGCACCACUAAGUUACACUGGAAACAGCCACGGUCUAACGCAGUAGCCGGUCGGUCUUGGAGCAGCACAAGAGGCGAAAGAGCUGGACUCCGCGCCCCAGGCGACCUUACAGGAGGGUCCUGGCCGACAGCACCGCCGAUGUCUUGUAAAGGGCUGCAACAGCGCGCUGAAGAUUUAUAGUUUUUGAUGAAAGAGAGUGGAGACGUUAUGAGGUUAAGUUGUGGGAGGUUGCCGCGCAGACGGAGCUCGGUGUAACAUGAGAGAAGUGGAGAAGCUGCCAGGCCAGCCAGACAAGACGCCUGGACAGGUGAGCCACCGAGAACAAGAGGGAUCUAAUGUUGCAUCUAUAUGGAAGUCUAUCCUGCUUAAAAAAGGGAGAAAAAUUAGAGGAACUGGCUUUGCGGCAGAUGCUGCUUUCAUGUAAGGGCCAGGGAUAUGAAGCGAACACUGUAACUGCCUUUACUAUCUCUACUUGGGAAGAACUUAGUGAUAAGCUCUUUACUGCUGCCUAUAAGGGAGAAAAAGUUGCUGCUUCCCUCCUUACAACUUGGCGAUUGUUAUCUGGAACAGUAAAAGACAUUAAAGCACAGUCUGAGGACAUUAGAAUGCUACUAGAUACCAUCAUACGGAGAAAUCGUGUAAAAAGGGAGUCGAGCGGAGUUGAAGGGAGCCGGAGCGGGACCAGAGAUCACGGAGCGGGGCCGGGGACAACCGAGCGGCCCCGCCAACAUGAACGCGGUGCCAGCAUCUCGGCAGUGCAUAUCCAGGACGAUCGGAGACGACGGCUGCAGUGUGAAAGUACUGCUGAUAGAGCAGGGAUGAACUUUACGAACACUGUGACUGAGUUGCACCUUAAGACAUUUCCAGCUUUUCAUCUGAACUGUGCUGCGGGCCUGCGCUGCACAUUUGUGGCUGUGUUCACGGCGCUGGGUGCUUACGCCGCCGUGCUGAGUGAAUACGGGGCGGCGCCGGGCAGCGGGGCAGUGGCGGUGGUCGCGCCGCCUGCGUGGCCCCGGCUCGGAGCGCUCCCGGCUGACACCGAGCCGGGGGACGGUGGAAUCGCUCGGAGCGGUGCUUGGCCCCGGCUCGGAGCGGUGCGCCCGUGUGGGUGCACGCCGGCGGCCCCGAGCGCGGCGGGCGGCGGGGGGGCUCUGUUUUCCCCGCACUGCUGACAGCCAUGGUCCCGGGGGGUGUGCGUUCCCCUUCCCUUCUUUGCAGCGAGUGUUUUCUCCCUGGUGCCGCUCCUCUUCCGAGAGCGGCGAGUUAAUGGCGGUAGCAAAAGCUUCAGAGGGUGCAGCUAGGGGAGGGGGAAAGCUGUUUCUCUUUUUCCCCGUUACACCAAUCACCCCUUCUCUGAAACGUGCCUGUUUGCAGCUGUUCUCUCCCUCUCCUACGUUUUUGUCUCUUUUUAAGCAGACCCUGUGAUUAAGUUAAGUUCCUUCUGCUGAUCUCUCUAGGUGAGCCCAGCCCCUCCUCCCCCUCCUUCGUCCUUCGGCAAUGAGGAGCGUGGGGGAGGCAAAGACGGUAAAACACGGAAAAAAGGCAAAAGAGAAAAAACAACUUAAAAUUAACAAUAUCCCAACUUAUAAAUCAAAUAAGAUUGCAUUGUUUUUACAGCAAUAGGUGUUAAACAUGCAGUGUGCUCAUGGCAUUCUCAAACGUUUUCUUCAAAACAGGGAGACUGACGAAAAAUCCUUUGAAGUAAGAUUAGAAAUAACAGAACAUCCGUGCUUAGCUUUUUGCAUAUUACAGAAGGUUAUUAAGAACUUCCUAUAGUUUGCCAUUUCGCAUCUCUUACAUGAAAUUUGGCUGUUUCCCCCUGGGGCAGGGUGCAGGUAGAAGAUUUGGAGACGGAACGAUGAGACAGAAGGGGAUGUAGUCCUGCCCCCUGCAAAAGUAGUUUUAUUGCCUUUAUGAUAAAAUAUCGUUGCUCUAUGAGAAGAGUUGAAGAUUUCCAAGAUAAUAUUCUGUUCUUUCUUGCUGUAUUUGUCUUUUACAUGGAGAGUUAUGCAGAAUUUGCAGAUUGCUGAUGGCAGCUAUGCCAUAAAUUUCCUUUGAAUUAUGAAACUGAUAAGAAGUGCACAGCCAAUGACUACUUGAAAAUGUGUGUGUGAUUGAGGAGAAUGUCUGAGGUGGCCACCUGAAUGUUGUGUGAAAGAAAAAAGCUACAUGAAUGUGUGACUGUGUAAACUUAAAAAUACUUUCUGCGGGUGUCAAGAUUUUAGAGAUGUGUAACACGAUUCUGUUGAACCAUAGUGAAUCCUUAUUCUGGAUGGUAUAUGAAUUCUUCAAUUUCCUAUCAUGAGUAGUGAGGUUUUAGUUAUCUCAAGACUAGCCCUGUCCAGCUAGCUGUUUGAUCUGAACUGAGGUUAAAUAAGAGGUUCUUACAUAAAUUUGGUGUUCUAUUACAGCCUUGUUUCAGAAAUUUAUGCAAGUUAAGUCUCAGGUAGAGUUUUUCUACUGCUGUUGUUCCUUAGCUGUGCGAGCUGUGCAGGAGACCACUAGUUUUAGAGCGAGUAAAAACCAUAAGCCAGCAAACAUUAGUACAGACUGCAAGGUUGGCAGAGCCCGAGGCAGGGUGCGCCACUGUGCAUCCAGGUGCCCGGGAACCAUUCUCACAAUUCGUGGAAAAGCUGCAAGACGCUGUAGAGAAACAAGUUUUGUGACAGUUACAGAAGUUGCUAGUUACAUAACUAGCUAGAGAUAAUGCAGGCUUGUGCCGGGGUGAGGUCCUUAAACCAUGAAAUAAUUGCAUUUGCAUCUGCUAUGGCAGUAGUGAGGGUCAUUUUGAGCUUUUCUGUGUUUUCCAAGAUUUAAAUCGGGAGUUGUCGAUGUUGCUGCCUUGUUUGUUCAGCUCGUUGCAGGGGAGCCUUUAGGCUGUCAAGGCCAUCCUGCGUGCUUUCUCAGAGACAUCUGCAGUGUUGUGGAUAGUGUGUCUUCAGGCCUCCUGGCUGGAGGGCAGAGCGGACCAGUUAUGCCAAGUCUUAAUUUUCAAGCGUUGUUUGUACUCUAAAGAACUCCUUUGCAGAGGAUUGUUUCAGCAAGUUUCCUAUGCUUCGAUCCAGUGCAGCUUCAUAGUUUUUCACCUCUUUUACAGUUUUGGGAAAAACACGCUGUGCUUGGCCAAAAGCCUCCUUUAAGCUGAUGGUCUUGUGGUCCCUGUGGGAGCUGGGGGCGGAGCGCAGUGUGCAGGUGCGGACCUUGUCCUUCUCACAGUAGCAUUCCAGCAGUUUGCCGUGCUGGGGGAUUUCCUCUCAGCCAAAACCUGGGCACCACAGAGCCCCACCAGGACGUAGUUUUUUCUGAGUGUUCUUUGUGCUAUGCUUACUCAGGUGGGCUUGGCACAGGGAGACCUUGCAAGUCAGGCAAGUCUUCAUGGCUGGACGGGGGCCUGUGGGGAAAAGGCAGAGUGGGCACUGGGAAGGGCCCUGCUGGCGUAUUUCUGUUCCUUCUGUAUGCACUCCUUGCAGAAGCUGUGACCGCACCCCAGGGACAUAGGGUUCCUGUAAAUGUCCAGACACAUGAGGCAUGUCAGUUCGUCCUUCAGCCUGGCCUCAGCACCCACCUCGGCCAUGUUGCCUGAGCCUCGUGACAGGGCUGAGAGCAAGGAGGAGGGCACUGGUGAGGAACUGAGAGCGCAGCAUACAGAAGCCUUCAGAUGUCAAUUUAGCUGAAUUCAUUCUAUUGCUCGCUCAGUUGUUGUCUCUUGUCCAGAUUGUCGUCGUGCUUGUACUGUCUAUUUUAGUACUAACCCUCGAGGUCUUACUCUGGCAAAAGAUCCCCAGGAGUUAAGUUUAAUGAGAUCACUGUCUGUACGUAACACAAGUGAUAAUGAGACUCAAACCUGUUUUAUGUUAAGAUUAUUUCAAUCUAGAUUAAGUGUUUAUCAAAGCCACGACUUGUCCAGCUGGCACAAACUACCUAACCUGUACACAAAAGAAUUGUAGAGCCUGGGUGAAACAGUAGAACACACAAAGAAAGUAACAGUAACAACUAGUCUUACAGACUCGUAGCUUCAAUCUAUUUUUGGUUCUAUGUCUGAAUGGGUUUUAAGUUUUGUUAAAGAAAAGCCUACGAUGGUUGUUGACAAUUGUUAUAAUUUUAGUAAUAGUUCAUAUUGAUUUUUCUUGUAUUGUUAAACGUGUAAGUGCUAUAACAGAGAAAACAUUGUUGGCCCAGAAUAAACAAACGGGGGUAUUUGUAGGGAAUUGGCUAUAGAACAGGGCUGGCCUAGGCCAUGGGAACAUCUGAGAUAGGGGGGUUACAAUGCACUUGUACCGGGUUAGCUGGCUGGUAAACAGGACACUGUGAUUAGCAAAACAAAAAGCAACUGAAAGCCACUUGUGUCAACAAAGGAAGGGAGUGAGAGACAGAAUUAACAUCUAAGUGUCAACAAAGAAAGAGACUGAGAGAUGAGAUCAACAUUUAAGCAGAACCAAUAAUGAGCUUAGCUUUUGCAAUAUGUAUGAACUAAUUAUAAAGCAUAUAUUAAGCUGUUAGCAAUGAUCAAUAAACAAAGCUUGCUGAUUCUCA